rnacentral:rRNA from 1 species
CACGUAGGGCGCAAGCGUUGUCCGGAAUUAUUGGGCGUAAAGAGCUCGUAGGUGGUUUGUUACGUCUGCUGUGAAAACCUAGGGCUUAACCCUGGGCUUGCAGUGGAUACGGGCAGACUAGAGGUAGGUAGGGGAGAAUGGAAUUCCUGGUGUAGCGGUGAAAUGCGCAGAUAUCAGGAGGAACACCGGUGGCGAAGGCGGUUCUCUGGGCCUUGCCUGACACUGAGGAGCGAAAGCGUGGGGAGCGAACAGG